GGUUGUAGCUGGCCUUUCGGGGCAUGUGCACGCCGGAGCCCUUAAUCCAUACACACCUGUGAACUUAAUGUAAGGGUCCGUAAAAAGGCCCCUACGUCUUUCAUCAUAAACCCAGUCUAAUAGAAUGUAAUCUAUGUCCUCGCCCUAAAAAAGCGUCGAUAAACUUAUACAACUUUCAACAACGGAUCUCUUGGCUCUCGCAUCGAUGAAGAACGCAGCGAAAUGCGAUAAGUAAUGUGAAUUGCAGAUUUUCAGUGAAUCAUCGAAUCUUUGAACGCACCUUGCGCUCCUUGGUAUUCCGAGGAGCAUGCCUGUUUGAGUGUCAUUAAAUUCUCAACCCCGAACCUUUUGGUUUCGGGGCUUGGACUUGGAGCGUGCUGGCCUUCCGGGGUCGGCUCCUCUCAAAUGCAUCAGCGGAAUCUAACCUUUGGUUUCCGGAAGUCGGUGUGAUAAUCAUGUUGCGCCGUCGUUCGACCUCAAAGUCCGCUUACAAUGGUCUUUGGACAACUUAUCAAAUUUGACCUCAAAUCAGGUAGGACUACCCGCUGAACUUAAGCAUAUC
rnacentral:rRNA from 1 species